UAAGGAAUAUUGGUCAAUGGACGCAAGUCUGAACCAGCCAUGCCGCGUGAAGGAUUAAGGUCCUCUGGAUUGUAAACUUCUUUUAUCUGAGACGAAAAAAGGCGAUUCUUCGUCACUUGACGGUACCAGAUGAAUAAGCACCGGCUAACUCCGUGCCAGCAGCCGCGGUAAUACGGAGGGUGCAAGCGUUAUCCGGAUUCACUGGGUUUAAAGGGUGCGUAGGCGGGCAGGUAAGUCAGUGGUGAAAUCCUAGAGCUUAACUCUAGAACUGCCAUUGAUACUAUCUGUCUUGAAUAUUGUGGAGGUAAGCGGAAUAUGUCAUGUAGCGGUGAAAUGCUUAGAUAUGACAUAGAACACCUAUUGCGAAGGCAGCUUACUACGCAUAUAUUGACGCUGAGGCACGAAAGCGUGGGGAUCAAACAGGAUUAGAUACCCUGGUAGUCCACGCCCUAAACGAUGAUUACUCGACAUUUGUGAUACACUAUAAGUGUCUGAGCGAAAGCAUUAAGUAAUCCACCUGGGAAGUACGACCGCAAGGUUGAAACUCAAAGGAAUUGACGGGGUCAUAGCUGUUUCCUG
rnacentral:rRNA from 1 species